UACGUAGGGUGCGAGCGUUAAUCGGAAUUACUGGGCGUAAAGCGUGCGCAGGCGGUUCUGCAAGUCAGAUGUGAAAUCCCCGGGCUUAACCUGGGAACUGCGUUUGAAACUACGGAGCUAGAGUGCGGCAGAGGGGGGUGGAAUUCCACGUGUAGCAGUGAAAUGCGUAGAUAUGUGGAGGAACACCGAUGGCGAAGGCAGCCCCCUGGGCUGACACUGACGCUCAGGCACGAAAGCGUGGGGAGCAAACAGG
rnacentral:rRNA from 1 species